UACAGAGGGGGCAAGCGUUGUUCGGAAUUACUGGGCGUAAAGGGCGCGUAGGCGGCGCAACAAGUCACUUGUGAAAUCUCCGGGCUUAACCCGGAGCGGUCAAGUGAUACUGUCGUGCUAGAGUGCGGAAGGGGCUACUGGAAUUCUCGGUGUAGCGGUGAAAUGCGUAGAUAUCGAGAGGAACACCUGCGGCGAAGGCGGGUAGCUGGGCCGACACUGACGCUGAUGCGCGAAAGCCAGGGGAGCGAACGGG
rnacentral:rRNA from 1 species